AGUAUAACCUUUAUACGGUGAAACUGCGAAUGGCUCAUUAUAUCAGUUAUAAUUUACAUGAUGAUGACUUGCUACAUGGAUAACCGUGGUAAUUCUAGAGCUAAUACAUGCAAAGGGCCCGCGAGGGUGGCAUUUAUUAGAUGGAACCAGCGAAAGAUGGUGAAUCAUGAUAACUGAGCGGAUCGCAUGGCCUCGAGCUGGCGACGCUUCAUUCAAAUUUCUGCCCUAUCAACUUUGGAUGGUAGGAUAGAGGCCUACCAUGGUGGUGACGGGUGACGGGGAAUUGGGGUCCGAUUCCGGAGAGGGAGCCUGAGAGAUGGCUACCACUUCCAAGGAAGGCAGCAGGCGCGCAAAUUACCCAAUCCCGACACGGGGAGGUAGUGACUGUAAAUAACGAUGCGGGGCCGUAUGGUCUUGCAAUUGGAAUGAGAGGAAUGUAAAUGCGUUAGCGAGUAACGAUU
rnacentral:rRNA from 1 species